GAUGAACGCUGGCGGCGUGCCUAAUACAUGCAAGUCGAGCGAACGGACGAGAAGCUUGCUUCUCUGAUGUUAGCGGCGGACGGGUGAGUAACACGUGGAUAACCUACCUAUAAGACUGGGAUAACUUCGGGAAACCGGAGCUAAUACCGGAUAAUAUUUUGAACCGCAUGGUUCAAAAGUGAAAGACGGUCUUGCUGUCACUUAUAGAUGGAUCCGCGCUGCAUUAGCUAGUUGGUAAGGUAACGGCUUACCAAGGCAACGAUGCAUAGCCGACCUGAGAGGGUGAGCGGCGACACGGGAACUCAGCCACGAGCCAGGGACCAACGGGAGACAGACGUAGGGAAUGUUGAGAAGUGGGGGAAAGCGUAACGGAGCAAUGACAGGUGAGAUAAGAAGGUCUUGGAAUCGUCAAACUGUGUGAGGAACGAAGAACAAAUGUGUAAGUAACGGACCACAUCUCGGCGGUACCUAAGCAGAAAGCCACAGCUCACUAAAUG
rnacentral:rRNA from 1 species